GUAAGAGUUCAUAUUUUCUGUUUCCUUGGAUGCUUUCCUACCAGGGCUGGCUCCUUAGUGUUGCACUAACAAAGCCCACUCCCAAGCACUAUUGCCUCACCAGCCUCAUUUGAGUGCUGGUUGUCAGAUAAUUAACCCGCCGCUGAUGAAUUCGUGCUGCUGGCAGAGAGGUCUUGGCACUCUCCUAGGCACCUGCUGUCAACAGGAGGUGGAGGAUGGAGAGAUUCUGCAACAUCCGUGCUACAGAGCAUGCAGCCCCCAGGGGCUGUGCCCUCCUGCUGAGGGGGCUGCUCUCAGAUGCCAGUAAUAAAUGGGUAUUUAUUUUAAAAAAAAGAGGUAGGGGGGAAGGAGAAGGGGGAAGGAGUAAGGGAAAAGGAAGGGAGAAGGGGGAAAGGCAAAAGCAAAGGAGAAAGGGAAGCGAAGGAAAAAGGAGAGGAAAGAAAAAAAGGGUAAAAGUGAAAAGAAAAAGAAAGGAAUAUCAGGAAAAAGGAAAAGAAAGGAAGGGGAAGGAAAGGAAAGGGGAAGAAAAAGAAAGGGGAAGAAAAGGAAAGGAAGGGGAAGGGAAGAAAAGGAAAGGAAGGGGAAGAGAAGGAAAGGAGAGGGAAGAGAAAGGGAAGGAAAGGAGAGGGGAAGGGAAAGGGAAGGAAAAGAAAAUGUCCUCAUGGCCUCCACCCAGGGCAAAUCAGCAUGUACAUCAGAGCUGUAGUUAUUCAUGUUGAACACUUGCAAGAGAAUAACAUUUUUUUCUUUUCUUUUCUUUUUCCCCAUAAACAAAUGAUAAAAAAAAUCCUGCAAGUGGAAUUUGUAGUGCUCCCUUUCCUGCAUCCCCAGCUGCCACAGGCGUUUGAAGAUUUCAGAUGGGGAAAUAAAUGAAUGGAUUUCUCCAAACCUCAUUCCUUGCACAAUCCUUUCACUCUUCAGGGGUACCGAAAUGAGCUCAGCCCAAGGUGCGUCUGCAGCCCUCGCUUUUGUGAGCUCUCUGCCAGGCUUGGAACUGCCCCAGAUCUGAUGAUGAACCUGCAGAAGAGAGCAGGAGGUGGACAGAAGGCUUCCUUGAGGGUUGAACAGGAGAGGCCAACAAAAGGACAGCUGUCAGGGAUCAGAGCUAUUCAGCAGCUUCCCUUAGCCCAACGUCAUCUGCAGCUCUAGCAUGUGGACUUGGUGUGGAGAUAAACAACUGAUUGUGAAAUCCCCUCCUGUGCUGUCACCUCCACUGGCAGACCAAUGACUUUUGGGAAGGCAGUCUGCCCUUCACAGCCAAACACAAGGAUAAAUGAGGUUGCACUGUGGGCAGUCAACCCUGAGUGCUACAUGAAAACCUGGAGGCAUCAGGCCUUGCUUGCAAAGAGAUCUUUA
ensembl:lncRNA